rnacentral:sRNA from 1 species
UCUGCAACCAAAAACUUUAAAAAUCAAACCUUUUUGCAUUUUCGUCUCUGAAGUUU